rnacentral:rRNA from 1 species
GACGAACGCUGGCGGCGUGCUUAACACAUGCAAGUCGAACGGAAAGGCCCUGCUUUUGUGGGGUGCUCGAGUGGCGAACGGGUGAGUAACACGUGAGUAACCUGCCCUUGACUUUGGGAUAACUUCAGGAAACUGGGGCUAAUACCGGAUAGGAGCUCCUGCUGCAUGGUGGGGGUUGGAAAGUUUCGGCGGUUGGGGAUGGACUCGCGGCUUAUCAGCUUGUUGGUGGGGUAGUGGCUUACCAAGGCUUUGACGGGUAGCCGGCCUGAGAGGGUGACCGGCCACAUUGGGACUGAGAUACGGCCCAGACUCCUACGGGAGGCAACGGUGGGGAAUAUUGCACAAUGGGCGGGAGCCUGAUGCAGCAACGCCGCGUGCGGGAUGACGGCCUUCGGGUUGUAAACCGCUUUCGCCUGUGACGAAGCGUGAGUGACGGUAAUGGGUAAAGAAGCACCGGCUAACUACGUG